GCAAUACUGAGGAGUUCCAUAAUAGGACGAAACGGCCGUCCAAUGC
rnacentral:hammerhead_ribozyme from 1 species